rnacentral:rRNA from 1 species
GUGGGGAAUUUUGGACAAUGGGCGCAAGCCUGAUCCAGCAAUGCCGCGUGCAGGAAGAAGGCCUUCGGGUUGUAAACUGCUUUUGUACGGAACGAAACGGUCCGGGUUAAUACCCUGGGCUAAUGACGGUACCGUAAGAAUAAGCACCGGCUAACUACGUGCCAGCAGCCACGGUAAUACGUAGGGUGCAAGCGUUAAUCGGAAUUACUGGGCGUAAAGCGUGCGCAGGCGGUUUUGUAAGACAGGCGUGAAAUCCCCGGGCUCAACCUGGGAAUUGCGCUUGUGACUGCAGUGCUGGAGUACGGCAGAGGGGGAUGGAAUUCCGCGUGUAGCAGUGAAAUGCGUAGAUAUGCGGAGGAACACCGAUGGCGAAGGCAGUCCCCUGGGCCUGUACUGACGCUCAUGCACGAAAGCGUGGGGAGCAAACAGGAUUAGAUACCCGAGUAGUCC